UACGUAGGCAGCAAACGUUGUUCGGAAUUACUGGGCGUAAAGAGUGUGUAGGCGGUUCUGUAAGAUUGGUGUGAAAUCUCCCGGCUUAACUGGGAGGGUGCGCCGAUAACUGCAGGGCUUGAGUAUUGGAGAGGAGAGCGGAAUUCCAGGUGUAGCGGUGAAAUGCGUAGAUAUCUGGAGGAACACCGGUGGCGAAGGCGGCAUCCUGGACCGACAUUGACGCUGAGGCGCGAAAGCCAGGGGAGCAAACGGG
rnacentral:rRNA from 1 species